UGCCAGCCGCCGCGGUAAUACGUAUGUCUCGAGCGUUACCCGGAAUCACUGGGUGUAAAGGGUUCGUAGGCGGACUUGUAAGUCAGACAUGAAAGACCGGAGCUCAACUCCGUGUUUGUAUUUGAAACUGCAAGUCUAGAAUUAGGGAGAGGUUAGCGGAAUUCUAAGUGUAGGGGUGCAAUCCGUAGAUACUUAGAGGAACACCAAAAGCGAAGGCAGCUAACUGGAACUAUAUUGACGCUGAGGAACGAAAGCGUGGGGAGCGAAAAGGAUUAGAUA
rnacentral:rRNA from 1 species